GCCGUUGUAGCUUAAAGGAUAAAGCAGACCCGUCCUAAGGGUAAGACUGAGAGUUCGACUCUCUCCAGCGGCG
rnacentral:tRNA from 1 species